CAAAUCUCUGUGCUCUCCCCCUCCCUUUUCUCUCCCUACCCUCCCACCUUUGUUCCUGUGACUUCACUGUUAGAACUCCACAGCUGGAACUUCCCUCAAACCUUCCAUUCGGUGUCUACUCAUCCUGCGCUCUCUCGGCAGCUUUUACUAAAGAGCCUGAUGACUUCAUGAUUCAUGCCCUGAUGUCAUCUAGCCCCGGUCAAAACAAAGGUGUCUUUUUACAUACAUACACCAUUUUCACCUUCAACACCAGUUCCAACAUGCUAUGUCCAGGGAGACUUAAAAUAACGAAACUAUUACAUCAUCUGUGUUUAGCAAGCGUUUCGCUGACCGCAGAAUUAUCAGCAUCAUGCCCAUGCUACAGAUGGGAACGCGUGUGCUUGUAUUACGCAUCUUGGCCUCUGUUCUUUACAUUUGGAACAGCCAGGGGACGCCUUCAUGGCUCAUUUUUGGGCUUACUUCCCGUGGGAUUUCCUAACCUCAUCCCUCUGAGUCUCAUUCCUCAAGCUGGCUUCAUUCAAGCUAAAGGAUUCUCAGGCGGACCACUCCUCCCAGGCAAAGGCACGGAUGUGCGUUUUCAGAAGGCCCUUCAAAGUCUUAACACAAGGAGGACUGACGCUGAAGCUGAAACUCCAAAACUUUGACCACCUGAUGCGAAGAACUGACUCAUCAGAAAAGACCCUGAUGCUGGGAAAGAUUGAAGGCAGAAGGAGAUGGGGACGACAGAGGAUGAGAUGGUUGGAUGGCAUCACCAACUUGAUGGAGAUAAGUUUGAGCAAGCUCUGGGAGACGGUGAUGGAC
ensembl:lncRNA